UCCGAGUUGACCCCGGCAGUCCCCCGAGAGUCCUCAGCAUGACCUGUUAGUAACACGGGGCAAGGGUUGCGCUCGUUGCGGGACUUAACCCAACAUCUCACGACACGAGCUGACGACAACCAUGCACCACCUGUGAACCGGCCCCAAAGGGGAAACCACAUUUCUGCGGCGAUCCGGCCCAUGUCAAGCCUUGGUAAGGUUCUUCGCGUUGCAUCGAAUUAAUCCACAUGCUCCGCCGCUUGUGCGGGCCCCCGUCAAUUCCUUUGAGUUUUAGCCUUGCGGCCGUACUCCCCAGGCGGGGUGCUUAAUGCGUUAGCUUCGGCACGGAACGGGUUGGUAGCCGCCCCACACCUAGCACCCAACGUUUACGGCUGGGACUAC
rnacentral:misc_RNA from 1 species